AGAUAAGACCACAGGGGCUUUGGCCUCUGGGGUAAAAGGUGGCCUCUGCUUGCAAGCUACCACUCGAAGAUGGGCCUGCGCGCCAUUAGCUUGUUGGUGAGGUAACGGCUCACCAAGGCAAAGAUGGCUAGCUGGUCUGAGAGGAUGGCCAGCCACACUGGGACUGAGACACGGCCCAGACUCCUACGGGAGGCAGCAGUGGGGAAUAUUGCGCAAUGGGCGAAAGCCUGACGCAGCGACGCCGCGUGGGUGAUGAAGGCCUUCGGGUCGUAAAGCCCUGUCGGGAGGGACGAAACCUCGGCGACCUAAUACGUCGUCGACCUGACGGUACCUCCAAAGGAAGCACCGGCUAACUCCGUGCCAGCAGCCGCGGUAAUACGGAGGGUGCAAGCGUUGUUCGGAAUCACUGGGCGUAAAGCGCGUGUAGGCG
rnacentral:rRNA from 1 species